GGGAAAAGGAUCCCGACGGGAAAUACGUCACCGGGAGUACGGUUUCCCGCCAGAAAUCUCGCCGCGGCGGACGCACGAUAGAUAUUAUGUCACGAUAACACGCCGUAACAGAUUACCGACGUCGGACCGCGGCCGUUGCAAUAACGCGUUACACGUUUCGGGACGAAACACGCGCGCGGGUUUUCGCGACCGUCCGGACGAACGUGCACCGUCGAGUUUGGACAGCGUGGCGAACACACCGUGCG